rnacentral:rRNA from 1 species
GGGGGGAGCAAGCGUUGUUCGGAUUUACUGGGCGUAAAGGGCGCGUAGGCGGCCACCGCAAGUCGACUGUGAAAUCUCCGGGCUUAACUCGGAAAGGUCAGCCGAUACUGCGGGGCUAGAGUGCAGAAGGGGCAACUGGAAUUCUCGGUGUAGCGGUGAAAUGCGUAGAUAUCGAGAGGAACACCUGCGGCGAAGGCGGGUUGCUGGGCUGACACUGACGCUGAUUGUGCGAAAGCUAGGGGAGCGAACGGGAUUAGAUACCCCGGUAGUCCUAGCCUUAAACGAUGGAUGCUUGGUGUCUGGGGUUUUAUAGUCCCCGGGUGCCGUCGCUAACGCUUUAAGCAUUCCGCCUGGGGAGUACGGUCGCAAGASKG